UUUACAGUUGCAGGUGCUGCUUACUGGUAGGAUCAUACUCAUGUUUUGUAGUGAAACAUAUUGUUUCUUCUUCUUGUUUACUGAUAUGAUUUAUUGGAAACAGGGCAAUAAUUAUUCAAGUGAUUAACAACAAAUGUUAUGAUGGGGCUAAGGCAGAUCUCUGGUCAUGUAGGGUAAUCCUUUUUGUUCUUAUGGCAGGUUACUUGCCUUUUGAAGAAACAAACCUUAUGGCAUUAUAUAAAAAGAUCAUUAAGGCAGAUUCACUUGUCCCUCAUGGUUCUCUACCAGUGCAAAAAACCUAAUCAAAAGGAUUUUAGACCCUAAUCCUUUAACUGUAUGUACUUUUCCUUUUUGUGCUUUGAGACAAGCACCAUGCCUUCAGCUUGUUAGAAUAAAUUGUUGAAAUUGCAGCCGGGUCUCUUUGCAAACAUCUUAUUAUAGAGGAAUGCUAUUGUACACAAAUAGUGGAGUGCACAUGAUGGGCAGUCCAAAUCGUGUGCUUGUCUGCCAUGUGUCCCCUUGGGAACUUGGCUGCAAAUUUUCAUGUGCAAUUAGGCAUUCUAAAUAUGGUGCACUUCAUAGUGCAACAAGAAUUCCACACUUGGAUAUUGCUCAAACUACAUUUUGCUAUUGUUCUUCUUUUAACACAUUUGUGACUGCCAUUUUUAGAAAGCUUGCAUUUGGUAGUUUUUUAUGCUGAAGUUGGGCUAAAAGGCUUUCUUCACAUCAUAAUUAGUUGCAACUUGUUGACAGAUGUGUGAAGUUAUGCGGGAUGUUACAAACUAUUUCCCAAUGGAAAUAAUUAGUGGAAGAUGUUGUGAUAAGGUACUAGAGCAAUUAGCUACUUUGCAUGGAAAAUAGGGGCCAUACUAUUGUGGUGCCGAAACUGACAAGGCAUUUGGACGACACAUUGUUGAUUCUCACUACAAAGCAUGCCUUUAUGCUCAAAUAAA